rnacentral:rRNA from 1 species
AUGUCGAGCAAGCCGUCGUCCAGGAGGGGCAGCUUCGCGCUGCGGCAGCCGCCGGUGGUGGACGUCGGCUGCAACUGCCGCCGCCCGAAGCUCUUCUCCAGCCUCCUCUCCUCGUCCUCCCUGCCGUUCCGCGGCCGGGGCGGCAAGCCCAAGUCGCCCAACGCCUCCUCCACGUCCACCACCACGGCGUUCACGGCCACGACGCUCGGCGGCCGCAGCGGCACCACGGCCACCUCCGCCGACUCCGCCUCCUGGGGCCCCGCGUCCUUCACCAACAACUCGCUGUACGAGGACCCGGCGGCCGCGCGCCGCCGCGGCCAGGAUGAGCCGGAGCAGGAGACGCGGCGCCGGCGGAGGCAGCGGCGGCGUCGCAGGCGCGCCGCCUGGGACGGCGUCGGCGGCGGCGCUGGGCACGGGGAGCAGGAGGCGGAGGCGCACGGGCGCGUGGCGCGGGAGAGCGUGCCGGUGGCGGUGGAGUCGGCGGAGCCGUACGAGGACUUCCGGGAGUCGAUGGUGCAGAUGGUGGUGGAGAAGGAGAUCUACGCGUGGGACGACCUCAACGACCUGCUCACCCAGUUCCUCACCCUCAACUCGCCGCGCCACCACCCGCUCAUCCUCCACGCCUUCGCCGACCUCUGGACCCGCAACGGCCUCUUCUCCCCUCCCUCGCCGUGCCAGUUCUAG